rnacentral:rRNA from 1 species
UACGUAGGCAGCGAGCGUUGUUCGGAGCUACUGGGCGUAAAGCGUGCGCAGGCGGUUUUGUAAGCCAGGUGUGAAAUCCCCGGGCUCAACCUGGGAAUGGCAUUUGGGACUGCAAGGCUGGAGUGCGGCAGAGGAGACUGGAAUUCCUGGUGUAGCAGUGAAAUGCGUAGAUAUCAGGAGGAACACCGAUGGCGAAGGCAGGUCUCUGGGCUGACACUGACGCUCAUGCACGAAAGCGUGGGGAGCAAACAGG